rnacentral:miRNA from 1 species
UGUGCACGAUUGUCUACGGGUGA